AGAGUUUGAUCGUGGCUCAGGACGAGCGCUGGCGGCGUGCCUAACACAUGCAAGUCGAGCGACGAGGUCCUUCGGGACCGAAGUAGCGGCGGACGGGUGAGUAACGCGUGAGCAAUCUGCCUUACACAAAGGGAUAGCCUCGGGAAACUGGGAUUAAUACCGUAUGACACUUAAGCAUCGCAUGGUGAAUAAGUCAAAGAUUUAUCGGUGUAAGAUGAGCUCGCGUCUGAUUAGCUAGUUGGUGGGGUAAAGCCCUACCAAGGCGACGAUCAGUAGCCGGCCUGAGAGGGUGCACGGCCACACUGGAACUGAGACACGGUCCAGACUCCUACGGGAGGCAGCAGUGGGGAAUAUUGCACAAUGGGCGCAAGCCUGAUGCAGCGACGCCGCGUGAGCGAAGAAGGUUUUCGGAUCGUAAAGCUCUGUCCUUUGGGAAGAAAAAAUGACGGUACCAAAGGAGGAAGCCCCGGCUAACUACGUGCCAGCAGCCGCGGUAAUACGUAGGGGGCUAGCGUUGUCCGGAUUUACUGGGCGUAAAGGGUGAGUAGGCGGUAACGUGUGUCAGAUGUUUAAUCUAUGAGCUCAACUCAUAUCAGCAUUUGAAACUACGUGACUUGAGUGCAGGAGAGGUAAGUGGAAUUUCUAGUGUAGCGGUGGAAUGCGUAGAUAUUAGGAGGAACACCGGUGGCGAAGGCGACUUACUGGACUGUAACUGACGCUGAGACACGAAAGCGUGGGGAGCGAACAGGAUUGGAUACCCUGGUAGUCCACGCCGUAAACGAUGAGUGCUAGGUGUUGGCUGAGAAGUCAGUGCCGAAGUAAACGCAAUAAGCACUCCGCCUGGGGAGUACGGUCGCAAGACUGAAACUCAAAGGAAUUGACGG
rnacentral:rRNA from 1 species